rnacentral:rRNA from 1 species
AUUGAACGCUGGCGGCAGGCCUAACACAUGCAAGUCGAACGAGCGGCGGACGGGUGAGUAAUGUCUGGGAAACUGCCUGAUGGAGGGGGAUCACUACUGUAAACGGUAGCUAAUACCGCAUACCAUCAGAUGGGCCCAGAUGGGAUUAGCUAGUAGGUGGGGUAAAGGCUCACCGAGGCGACGAGCCCUAGCUGGUCUGAGAGGAUGACCAGCCACACUGGAACUGAGACACGGCCCAGACUCCUACGGGAGGCAGCAGUGGGGAAUAUUGCACAAUGGGCGCAAGCCUGAUGCAGCCAUGCCGCGUGUAUGAAGAAGGCCUUCGGGUUGUAAAGUACUUUCAGCGGGGAGGCGUUACCCGCAGAAGAAGCACCGGCUAACUCCGUGCCAGCAGCCGCGGUAAUAC